CGGGAGGCAGCAGUGGGGAAUAUUGCACAAUGGGCGCAAGCCUGAUGCAGCCAUGCCGCGUGUAUGAAGAAGGCCUUCGGGUUGUAAAGUACUUUCAGCGAGGAGGAAGGUGUUGAGGUUAAUAACCUCAGCAAUUGACGUUACUCGCAGAAGAAGCACCGGCUAACUCCGUGCCAGCAGCCGCGGUAAUACGGAGGGUGCAAGCGUUAAUCGGAAUUACUGGGCGUAAAGCGCACGCAGGCGGUCUGUCAAGUCGGAUG
rnacentral:rRNA from 1 species